UCUCCCAUAGCUCAGUCGGUAGAGCACGGACUGUUAAUCCGCAGGUCCCUGGUUCGAGCCCAGGUGGGAGAGCCA
rnacentral:tRNA from 1 species